AAAAAAAAAAAAAAAAAAAGAGGAAAGUAAACAAAUUGCAGGUUGGCCAGAGACUUCUGGAAAUCAGGAUUAUCUGGAGGAAUAGGAGGAGAGCAGGCUCAGGCUGAACCUGGUGGCUGUCUGUAUGUGGCUGCAGUACUGUUUGGGAAGGACAGAACUGGGUGUCCUGUGGCUCUGGGAUCAGAGCCAAGUCUGGAGAGAGAUUCUUAAAGGUGGAGAGAGAUGUUCUGACAAUCCUGUGAUGGAUACCUCUUCCUGCAAACGUCAAUAGUCAUGCUGAGGUUGGUGUGAAAACGAAGAAUCCCCAGUCAAGGAACUGGAGGUGAUAGAACCAUGAGGCUGGCAAGCCAGUGGCCAGUGAGCCAGCAUGUUAGACUGGGAAGAAGUUUUGACAUCACCCAGCUUGACAGCCUUGUUUAUGUGCAGCCCGUGAUGUUCUCAUGCUCCCAUCCGUCAUAGAUAAGAUGACCUUGGGUUAUGCAAAAUUCCCAGUGCACUCCACAUAACCCCAUCCCUGUCUUUCCUACUUAGGAAGGCAAUGUGAAUUUAAGCGACUGGAAUUAAUCUUAUUGUAGAAACAACCUUGACUUUUUUCUGAUUCAUGCGAAAUAGCACAUCACUCAUGAGUUUCAGAUCAAUGAUCAGUGACAGGUUACCACACGCAACGCUCCUCAUACCUAAUUGUCACAUACGUGUUUCUCAUCCAACCCUUUCAUUUCACAAUGGGGAAAUUGAGGCCUAGAGAAGGGAAAGAGCCAUAGUCAAGUGCGUAUGAGAGGUGUGAGGUAGGAGCCAAGUCUCCUAACUCCAAACGAUGGCUCUUUCUCUAACUGAGAGCCACUAGCUGUCAACUUAGAUUUUGGUUGGUGGCAGCAAGGGAUAGGCUGGUGAGAGGAAGAAGGAAACAAAGGAAAAGAAAGGUGUGAACCUGCCGUGUUUCAUCCUAGUGACAUCACCAAGGAGAUGCCUGCGUCCAACAAACCUAGCAUUCUCCAGAGCCCCGUGCCUGACCAGUGCUUGGAGGCUGGAAUGAGGCUGUGAGGCUCCAGCAGCCGUUUUGUGCCACGAGGCAGUAGAAACCUGGGUUCCUGAUGACUGUGGAGCUGCCGAACUAAUCUGGACCUCCAGAUUCCAUACCUGCAAGACACAUGAACAUCUGUCUUAUGCCGUGGAAACAGAAAUCUAGUGGAGGAUUCUGAUCCCUAGGGAAUGUAGGGCCACUGGACCCAAUUGCCCUAUAAUCUUGUGUGGUAUUUCCCUGCCCCUGCUCAACUUCAUUGGAUGGUAAUGUUACAUUUGUUAAGCCACUAAGGUUUUGGGGGUUGUUUAUUAGGCAGUUGUCUAGCCUGAUAACACAAGCCUGAAAGAAGGGCAUUCUUAUCCCUAUUUUUCCCUGGGGGAAAUGGGCUCAGAGAUACUAAGUAACUUGCUAAAGUCACACAGCAAGUAAGUGGCAAAUCCAGAUUUGAGCUCAGGUUAUGUCUUUUCCACUAACCCAGGCUAACAGGAUGAUUGUUCCUGCUUAGGUAUUGCCUUGGUCUUUGUUUCUUGAGGAGUCACAGAAAGAAAGACACAGACCAGGACUGGGAGGUAGGGAAGGAGGGAGCAGCUGGGGGGCAGGUGUGUAGUGGUGCAUCAUAGCAGCAAAGGGAGGUAAAGGUUCUAGGAAGGGGUGGUCAAUUGUGUCUAAUGAGAUCCAGCCAGGUGGAGGAGGAAGAGGGCUGGGAAGAGCCCAUUAAAUUUAAUGACCUCAGUGACAGUUUUAUCUGAGUGAUGGGGCAGAUGCCAGCUUGCAGAAGGUUUGGGAACAAGUCAGUGAUUAUGUUGGUUAAGGGAAGGAGAGAGGAAAAAAAGAGAGAUAGCUUUAAGUGGAAGCCAGGCCAAAGGAAAGCAUUUUGAGAAGGAAAUCAGUGGUUAGGGAGAGGUUAAAAAUAAGAAAGGGAAUCAUGACCUACAUAAUGCAAGGCAUCUGAAUGUGAUGAUUUCCUCCUUUAGGCUUGGUUCUGGUGUGCAUUUCCAGGGCUAAGCUGACUGGCCAGGAAGCAGGGAGCAAAGGGGGUUGGACACAGCCAGCAAAUCACGCAGCAUUAACUGGGCUGCGAGGCCGGAUCCUGAGUGGGCAAGCAGGUGGCAGCUGAAGUAUUGUGAAUCGAGAGCCUGAAAUUCUUCAGGAUCUUCUAAGAUUAUCCAUUUGAUUGGGUCAUGGAAUUAAUGUGGAUAAGCCUAGUUGAUCAACCUGAGUAGAGGGUGCUGUCACCUGCACAACACCUACCACAACUUCCUAGAACCUAGUGGCCGAGCUUGUUAAGUGUCCCCAAAUGCCCAUUCUCUCCUUCCUUUUAGUCAAGGAGCCAUGAAUUUUAGGGAAGAACAUGAUCAUUUAGCUCAGGACCACAGUUCCCAGACUCCCUGCAGCUGGAUGUGGAUGUCUACUCAGUUCUUGCUAAAACGAUGUGUGCAAUUUCCAGAGCACAUCCUUAUAUGGAAGUUAUUUGCAGUGAACAUUGUCUGUUUCCUCCUUUCAAUGAGGUGGAACUGGAAGUGCUGGAGAUGAGCUGCUGUGGCUGUAUGGACAAAGGCAAGAUCCUAUGGGAUGGCCAAGCAACCAGACAGAAGAACUCUUGAGACCUUGAGGAAAAGAACUGCCCGCAACUGCUCUUGACACUCUCUCCCUCUGGCCUGUUGUGUGGGAGAGAAAUAAA
rnacentral:lncRNA from 1 species